GGCCGCGGGAAUUCGAUUCAGGCCUAACACAUGCAAGUCGAGCGGUAGAGAGAAGCUUGCUUCUCUUGAGAGCGGCGGACGGGUGAGUAAUGCCUAGGAAUCUGCCUGGUAGUGGGGGAUAACGUUCGGAAACGGACGCUAAUACCGCAUACGUCCUACGGGAGAAAGCAGGGGACCUUCGGGCCUUGCGCUAUCAGAUGAGCCUAGGUCGGAUUAGCUAGUUGGUGAGGUAAUGGCUCACCAAGGCUACGAUCCGUAACUGGUCUGAGAGGAUGAUCAGUCACACUGGAACUGAGACACGGUCCAGACUCCUACGGGAGGCAGCAGUGGGGAAUAUUGGACAAUGGGCGAAAGCCUGAUCCAGCAAGGCCGCGUGUGUGAAGAAGGUCUUCGGAUGUAAAUCAAAGGAAGUUGGGAGGAAGGGCAUUAACCUAAUACGUUAG
rnacentral:rRNA from 1 species